rnacentral:lncRNA from 1 species
AAAUAUCACAUAAGUUUAUUAUUACUGUACUAUUAAAAGCACAAUAGCCCGCGUACUUCUAAAUUUCUAAUUAUUUAUUAAUUUUGAUGAAUAAUUAGAAUAAAAAAAAAAAUUUAUCAAUUUCUCUUUUUUUUUAAAAAUUAUUUCUAAUUUUCUUUUCUUCCUCAUCCUAACCAUUCAUCAAAAUUGAUGAACGGUUAGAAACUUAAAAGCAUAAGAACUGCUAUGUUUCUAAUAGCACAAUAUCCCUACUAUAUAUAUAUGAAGUUGGGCUGAAAUACUAUUGAUAGUAUUUGGCCUCUUUGACUAUCAAGUUUUUAAUCCUUGAACGAGAAAUUGUAGAGUUAUGAUAAUAUUAGUCUCUUAAGGUUAACUAGUUUUCACUAUGUUAUAAUAUUUAAUCUAAUGAUUAGAAAUGAUUAAAAAAACUGAUCCAAAAGCUAAAAAGUUUGAUAGCAAAAAAGGGCAAACACUAUUAAUAGCAUUCUCACUCAGAUCUAUAUAUAUGAAUUUGGCUACUAUACAAUCGAUAGUACAAAGUGUUUAGUGCUAUCAAAUUUUCCGUCAUUAGAUCUAUUUUUUUGACCAUUUUCAUCUAUUAGAUCAUACUAUUCAAUCAACCAUCCACUCAAUUCUAAGGGAACCAAUAUCAUUCUAACCGCAUAUUCCUUCAUCCAAUAGUCGUGUGUUAUUAAUAGUAUGGUAAUCUAAUUCUAUAUAUAUAUAUACAUACAUUUCUUUUUCAAAACUUAUGCGGCCAUAAACACACAAAUCAUACAAAUUAAUAAGUUUGAUAGUGAAAAUAAAAGUUUGGAUGAUUAGAUAGUC